rnacentral:rRNA from 1 species
UUUGGCAAUGUCUAAGAUUAGUAACACUUUGACUGAUCUCAAAAAGGUAAGCAUGUUUGGACCUGGUUAGUACUUGNAUGGGAGACCACCAAGAAAUUGCAGUGCAUAC